GACGGAGGAUGCAAGCGUUAGCCGGAAUUAUUGGGCGUAAAGCGUCCGCAGGUGGCAGUUCAAGUCUGCUGUCAAAGACCGGGGCUUAACUUCGGAAAGGCAGUGGAAACUGAACAGCUAGAGUAUGGUAGGGGCAGAGGGAAUUCCUGGUGUAGCGGUGAAAUGCGUAGAGAUCAGGAAGAACAUCGGUGGCGAAGGCGCUCUGCUGGACCAUAACUGACACUCAGGGACGAAAGCUAGGGGAGCGAAUGGG
rnacentral:rRNA from 1 species